rnacentral:pre_miRNA from 1 species
UGACCUGAAUCAGGUAGGCAGUGUGUUGUUAGCUGGCUGCUUAGGUCAAGUCAGCAGCCACAACUACCCUGCCACUUGCAUCUGGAUAA